GUCAGAGGAGGCAAGCGUUAUCCGGAAUUAUUGGGCGUAAAGCGUUCGUAGGUGGUUUGACAAGUCUGGGGUUAAAGCCCGGAGCCCAACUCCGGAUCGGCCCUGGAAACUGUCAUACUUGAGUAAGGUAGGGGUUGCGGGAAUUCCCGGUGUAGCGGUGAAAUGCGUAGAUAUCGGGAAGAACACCAGCGGCGAAAGCGCGCAUCUAGGCCAUUACUGACACUGAGGGACGAAAGCUAGGGGAGCGAAUGGG
rnacentral:rRNA from 1 species